CCACUUUGUUUCCAUGACAACGUUUCACACCUAAGCAGGAGGAGAGGUGCAAUACGCGGAGUGAAUAGUGAAAACUCGGAGGGGAGGACGGAAUGACUGAAAACAGCAAAUCCAACUGCUAUGACCACAAGGAAGAUUGCUGAGACGCACUCUUCCCAAAUGGACUCAGAGCAGCUUACAACAGACACCAUUACAAAAAAAUAAUGUCAAUAAAACUAGUAAUAACAA